rnacentral:tRNA from 1 species
AUAGAGCUCAGUGGUAGAGCACUUGCCUAGUAUGCACAAGAAUCUGGAUUCAAUUCCCAGUAU